rnacentral:sRNA from 1 species
CGGACCCGUGUGUGUCGAAGCAUCAGUUGAAAUUCCUUGUUUGGUUCCUCAACACGGAAGGUUCUCUCAAAUGCGAAAAUAAAUAAUGAUCCUUCCGGUGGCCUUCUGGCUCUCUGAGAUACGAGCAAGAGUGGCGCUUGCGAUCGGAUGAGAUGGAAGGGAAAUGGGCCGCGGUCUGUUACCCUAUGAGGAAACCCCUACUCUGGCAUUUAAAAAAGUAUCAUGAGAAAGUUGCCCAGAGACCACGAUGCCAACAUAAAUAUACGGAAUUGCAGAAUAAGUAUUUCGAAUUGCAAUCAAGAAACCAAAAAGAGGACCUAGAAGGUGGCAUGAACUUUGAAAAUAAGUUGCAAAGUUGCGAGCAAUAUCGCGAAUUUUAUUAAUCGAAAAAUCAAACUAAAGAUCGUUGUCCAAAAAUGAAAAAGGCGUAAUCUAAAAAAUCCUGCUCCCAGGCUCAGAUCCUUUCAAAGUGGCUCAUAUAAGGACGAGAGAGCUGGGAAUGAAAGUCAUAAUUGGUCGAAGGAAAACGCUUUUGCCUGAUGGUUAAUUAUUAUGUUUGACCUUUUUUGUAUCAAUAUUUUUUAAGUCUAGUUACUCAAUUUGCUUAAUUGCAUUUCGGAAUACUUAUUCUGCAAAUCCCUAUAUCCGUAUAACAUGGCUUUGUGGACUACAGGCAUCGUUCUCGUAUAACUUUUCGAAAUACCGGAGAAGGGGUUUCACUAUUGGAUAACAAACUGCGGAGCACUCGUCUUUCAUCUCAUCCGAAAGAUUGUGGACUGUGGAAUUUAAUUUUGUGACUUCCAUCAUGCUAUUAUUUGAUAAAAGUUACCUAACAAUGAUUCUUAAACAGCCGUUCUUAAUGGACUUU